rnacentral:lncRNA from 1 species
AAUGUGCUACUGCAAUAGGUUUGUCGUCGUUAACACAUCAAAUAUUAGGAAGAAUCCAAACAAGAAGUUCUAUGGGCGUCCAUAUUUUAAGGUUUGUGCAUUUAUUUAUUUUUUAUCUAUUUUGAUGCUAUUUUUUGUUCUUCACACUUUUUCUUUAAUUUUCAGGAAGGAAAAACGUGUUGUGUUAAGUUUCUCUGCUGGGUUGAAGAUUGGGAAAAAAAAUCAAGUCAUGAUGGAAGAUAAUAGAGUAGAUAAUAGAAUUGACAUGGAUGAGAUGUAUGCUAGUUUGAAAGAAAUUAAAUUGAUGAUCAAAGAGCAUGUGAAUUGGAGCAGAAAGGUUGUUGUUUUAGGAUUUGUGUUUAGUUUCGUAGCAUGGUUUUUUAUGUUCUUUAAGUUGAUGUAUUUUGUUGAGUUAUUGUUUAGUUGCAAAAUUGGUGUACUUUAAUGUUAAUGUUUAGUUGAAUUGUUGCAC